AUACCUUGAAUUUUAUGGAUUGAUUUUGAUGAACCUCCUUAUAUUGCAAGACUUGCUUUAAUUAUAUAAUAAGUUUAUACCUUGAGAUGAGUUCUAUAAAGGUUGUCUUAUCUCAAACCUUGAGUCUUAUGAAAAUAAGCUGAAACUUAUAGAAAAUAUAUUUUUGAGAUUGACAAUUUUAUUGAACAUUAUCUUCAAAUUCUAAACUUUUAAAUGGAAUGAUCAAUUGAGGGGGAGAAAGAAAAUUUCAGAAGGAGAGAUCUGAUGGAAAGGAGAGAAAAUGAAUACUAAAUGAAAAGUGAUCCUAAUACUCUCCAAUAUGUGUCAUCUGAAAUUUAAAUCUGAAAAUCUUUAUGAUACACCUUGAAGCUUGUUAUUUGGUUAAUAUAUCUUAUGCAUAAAUCAUGAACCAAAUUGCAAUUCAAACAGAUGAUCUUAAGAGCCUCCAACUUAAUGAAAAAGGGGGAGAAUAAUGUGUUGAAUUUUCUUGAGUAUCUCUCAGAAAAUCUAUUUUGGGAAUU
rnacentral:lncRNA from 1 species